GACGAACGCUGGCGGCGUGCUUAACACAUGCAAGUGGCGCGACGAACCAGGGCGUUGCCCUGGGGCAGAGCCGCGAACGGGUGAGUAACACGUGGGCAACCUGCCCCGAUGGACUGGGACAACCCGGGGAAACCCGGGCUAAUACCGGAUGUGCCCGCUCCACACCAGUGGAAGCGGUGUAAAGGAAGCUUCGGCCUCCGCA
rnacentral:rRNA from 1 species